GAUGAACGCUGGCGGCGUGCUUAACACAUGCAAGUCGAACGGGAAACCUUUUAUUGACGCUUCGGCAGAUUUAGCUGGUUUCUAGUGGCGGACGGGUGAGUAACGCGUGGGUAACCUGCCCUAUACAGGGGGAUAACAACCAGAAAUGGUUGCUAAUACCGCAUAAGCGCACAGGGCCGCAUGGUCCGGUGUGGAAAACUCCGGUGGUAUAGGAUGGACCCGCGUUGGAUUAGCCAGUUGGCAGGGUAACGGCCUACCACAGCGACGAUCCAUAGCCGGCCUGAGAGGGUGAGCGGCCACAUUGGGACUGAGACACGGCCCAGACUCCUACGGGAGGCAGCAGUGGGGAAUAUUGCACAAUGGGGGAAACCCUGAUGCAGCGACGCCGCGUGAAGGAAGAAGUAUCUCGGGAUGUAAACUUCUAUCAGCAGGGAAGAUAGUGACGGUACCUGACUAAGAAGCCCCGGCUAACUACGUG
rnacentral:rRNA from 1 species